UGAGGAAUAUUGCGCAAUGGGGGCAACCCUGACGCAGCGACGCCGCGUGAGUGAGGAAGGCCUUCGGGUCGUAAAGCUCUGUCAAAGGGAAAGAAGUGCAUGAUGGUUAAUACCUGUCAUGUUUGACGGUACCCUUAAAGGAAGCACCGGCUAACUCCGUGCCAGCAGCCGCGGUAAUACGGAGGGUGCAAGCGUUGUUCGGAAUCACUGGGCGUAAAGGGCGCGUAGGCGGUUUGAUAAGUCAGAUGUGAAAGCCCACGGCUUAACGUUGGAAGUGCAUUUGAAACUGUCAGACUUGAGUAUCAGAGGGGAAAGUGGAAUUCCCGGUGUAGAGGUGAAAUUCGUAGAUAUCGGGAGGAAUACCGGUGGCGAAGGCGACUUUCUGGCUGAAUACUGACGCUGAGGCGCGAAAGCGUGGGGAGCAAACA
rnacentral:rRNA from 1 species